CGCGUGGUGGUCGUGGCGGUCGUUGUCCUGGUGGACAGUGGCCCGCCGCGCGUUGCCGCGACUCGGGUGAGACGCCGCUCACCCUCGGAGGCAGGCUCCGGAGCCGCCCGCGUGCGCGUCCGCGCGCCCGAUGUUCCGGGAUCACCACGACCUCCGGGCGACCCUCGGCCAUCGUGAAAAUAGUGAAAACUUGUGAAAAGCUGUGAAAUACGCGCGCGAGCGACGAAGCGCAGUAUCGGAACGGCGAUCGCACUCGCCCCGGUUAACCGACAUACGUGGUCGCACCCGGGUCGCCGCGACGAGCUAACGUCGCCCGUUCGUCACGCGCCAACGUCCCCGACGCAACGCGCGCGCUCGCACAGUGGAUAAAUGCCUGAUUGAAUUGAUAUUUGCAGAAAAAGAUCCGAGCCGGAGAGGUUAUGUGCGGGAUCCGCCUGUCACUGCCUGUGCAAUGUGGAGCCUCACCAGCGUGCGUCCACUAGGUGUCCGUAACACCGGAUCGUCCCCACGAAGGAGAGAGCAGGCUUCACUUCCCGCUGCACAACCGCUUGACCUGGACGCACAGCCAGAGAGGACAGUUUCAGAGAGGCUCGAGUCAGCGGUCACUGUGUCACCGCUGAGAUCUGUCCACACAGGCUGAGGACUUCUCCCAGCAGCUAUCCAGCAACCACGUCACUCCCGUGCCUUACCGCUGCCUCACUGCAAUACAGCGGCAGCGGUUUCCCAACAAACAACUCUGAAUACUAAAAAAACUGCAAAAACUAUUCAAUGCAAAUAUUGUUGGCACCAGAAGGAAGCCACCGGAAGCAUCCACGCAGCGACAGCCACUCCCAACACUCAAAAAUACAGCGGUGUGUCACACAAAGUGAUGUGACACUUUGAGUGAAAAAGUGUUGCACCCUGCCUCUCUGACACCGCUGCGCAGCAACAGCCUGGAGGUAGCCAGAGGAGAAGAGAUGCACGAGGUAACAGAAAUUGUCAGCAGUGAGUGUCAGUAUCUCACCGCUGACUCUCAGGUAUGAGGCUUCUAAGCUUGUAAUUUCUAUUUUCUCCAUUUUUGUAAUUUCUAUUUUCUACUACAAUACUUUUUAACAGAUAUACGCCUUUAUUUUACUCAGUUAAUGUUCCACCGGGGACAUUACCCCCGGUGGUAAUUACAAUUUAAAGUUUAGCAUACAGUGCUCGUGUCGUGUUGUCCUAGAUAGCCGCCUUCAGCGCACCGG